rnacentral:rRNA from 1 species
CCCGGGCCUUGUACACACCGCCCGUCAAGUCACGAAAGUUGGUAACAUCCGAAGCCGGUGGCCUAACCCCUUGUGGGAGGGAGCUGUCGAAGGUGGGACUGGCGAUUGGGACU